rnacentral:lncRNA from 1 species
CAGCAUACAAUAAAUAACCAGGAUCCGAUAUAAAGUGAUGUCGGAAACAUAAGAGCAUGGCUGGAUGUUGGGAUGUGUAAAUGCCAUCCAUUAUUUGGCUAGAGGAGUUAAAUCUGCCCUAAGGAUGUUCACUGGUGCUCCAUUAGGGUUUCUCUGAAAAUGCCUCCCUGGGAUGCAAAUCACUCGCUCAAUGCCUCAUAAUCC